rnacentral:rRNA from 1 species
AUUGAACGCUGGCGGCAGGCUUAACACAUGCAAGUCGAGCGGGGUGAUGGUGCUUGCACUAUCACUUAGCGGCGGACGGGUGAGUAAUGCUUAGGAAUCUGCCUAUUAGUGGGGGACAACAUCUCGAAAGGGAUGCUAAUACCGCAUACGUCCUACGGGAGAAAGCAGGGGAUCACUUGUGACCUUGCGCUAAUAGAUGAGCCUAAGUCGGAUUAGCUAGUUGGUGGGGUAAAGGCCUACCAAGGCGACGAUCUGUAGCGGGUCUGAGAGGAUGAUCCGCCACACUGGACUGAGACACGGCCCAGACCCCUACGGGAGGCAGCAGUGGGGAAUAUUGGACAAUGGGGGGAACCCUGAUCCAGCCAUGCCGCGUGUGUGAAGAAGGCCUUAUGGUUGUAAAGCACUUUAAGCGAGGAGGAGGCUCUUUUGGUUAAUACCCAAGAUGAGUGGACGUUACUCGCAGAAUAAGCACCGGCUAACUCUGUGCCAGCAGCCGCAGUAA